AAAAAAGGACCAUGCUGCAUGCGUUUUCCCCUCAAAGUUACAAGCCACUAUUUUAUCCACCCAAACAGUGUAACUUAAUAGCAACCUCUCGGGCAGCGUGUGGCUGGGUAAUGUGGGGAUGCUGCAGCUCGCUGCGACUUGCCAGGAGAAUCCACCAGAAGAUCUGGACUGGAGUUUAGCCUCAGAACCAGGACCAUGCUAAGAUGGUCUUUUGCACAUGUUUUCGCCCCAUUGGUCCAGGGUCCCAGGCUGGCAGUGUUGCAGCUCUGCAGGUAGUACUUAUAAGGUUGCUCUGUGCCUGCACUAGAUUUCAGCUCAGGCCUUUACACACUGAAAAGAGGAAACGAGAGACUGCAGGGGACAGACAAAACACAGCGAGGAGCACGGCUGCCUGAACAAUGUAAAACUGUAUCC